GAUGAACGCUGGCGGCGUGCCUAAUACAUGCAAGUCGAGCGAACAGACGAGGAGCUUGCUCCUUUGACGUUAGCGGCACACGGGUGUGUCACACGUGGAUAACCUCCUUAUCUUACUGGGAUAACUUCGGGACACCGGCGCUAAUCCCGGAGAAUAUAUUGAACCGCAUGGUUCAGUAGUGCUUGACGGUUUUGCUGUCAGUUAUCGAUGGAUCCGCGCCGCAUUAGCUAGUUGGUAAGGUAACGGCUUACCAAGGCGACGAUGCGUAGCCGAGCUGAGAGGGUGAUCGGCCACACGGGAAGUGAGACACGGUCCAGACUCCUACGGGAGGCAGCAGUAGGGAAUCGUCCGCAGUAGGCGAAAGCCUGACGGAGCAGCGGCGCGUGAGUGAUGAAGGUCUUCGGAGCGGAAAGCUGUGUUAUGGGGGAAGAACAAAUGUGGAAGGAAAUAUGCACGUCUUGACGGUACCUAGUCAGAAAGCCACGGCUAACUACGUG
rnacentral:rRNA from 1 species